GCGAGCGUAGUUUAAUGGUAGAACCUCAGCCUUCCAAGCUGAUGACGGGGGUCCGAUUCCCCUCGCUCGCUCCA
rnacentral:tRNA from 1 species